UCCCUGGUGAGCUUCCUCAGCCCCUGCUAAUUUAUUCCAGAUUUCAGGCUUUCAAUCCCUUUCUAAUAUUGAGCUCAGACAUGCACGUUUAGUUGUUGCCUCCAAAUAACGUGUAUUUUUGUAUUACUAAGCCAACAUUUAAAAAGAACAAAAACUGGUGUGGGAAUUAGAUUUCUUUGUUUUCUUUGGGUUCUGUUACCAUUCCUAUUUCUAAAAAUAUCCUUGAGCCUGUUGUCCGCUGAGCUACUUGUCCCAGCUGUUCAGCUUGCUUUGGCCUCUACUGAGUCAAGUGAAAAUAGAAUUGCUUGUUGGUGCUGUAACAGAUGAGUCCAGAAGCACAGCUUGUCUCAUAUAAUGUGUGUGCUGGAGCUGGUCACCCUCCUGAGCAUUCUAGUCACCUUGCCAGCUAACAGCAGUCCUUCCAAGGGGCACUUGUCUUGGUCAUCCAGUCUAGAGUAAGUUGAGUCACAUGCUGGUGGUGCUGGUUUUGGUUUGUUCGCAGUGAAAACCUGAUAUCUCAUUCUCCUGGAGGUUGAGAUUCACCUGAAUUGAGGCAGCUCUAUUUGCACACAGGGCGUAGCCCAGGACUACUCCGGCUGCCAGCCAGCUUGAUUAGGCAUAGUACAAAAGUGGGUGGAAGGUUCUUGCCUUUUUUCUGUCCCUUGUGAAUUCAGAACCAAUGCAAAUGGAUCCAAGCAGGGAAGCACUGGAAACCUAUGGCCUAGGCUUUUUUAGCCUCCCCACUCUGAGAUUUUUGCUUCCUCUGCCCAGUGCUGGUGGCAAAAGCACCCUGUUUAGUUUGUCAGAUCGCAGCCAAAGUAGUUGCAGACCUUUCAAAAAUAAAUUUCUUAAUUCUGCUGGGUAUUUUGGUAACUCUGAAAUUGUGGGAUGUCUGACACUGUCUUUUUCAAUAAUUUGCUCUCCUAUAAAGGCGCGUUUUGGAAUUUGCUUCUGUGCUUGCUUUCUGUAGGAUGCAUUCAUCCUGAGAAAAAACAAAAUAAAAAAACUACAAAAACUCUGGCAUUAUUGUUUUAAGCCAUAAAAUCCUGCAAGAUUGAGACAGGUUAUUAAUUUCUGGACUUCUGGAUGUGGUGGGAGGCUGCCAUAUUAACUUUAUGCAGCAAGCUGUUUUCCUGCAUUUGGGUUUGGAGCUCAGGUUCCUCCUAGCUGGCAGAUUUAAACCUACCCAUUUAAAUAAAGAAUCAGCAAUCAGUACAGAGAAUAUUGGAUGUGCACAAUGAAAAUCAUUAGGCAUAGGAAAAAAUGUGAAUGAAAGAUUAAAGGGGAUGUUCUCUGUCCUGGGAUACAAGCAUUUAGGCAAAGAACUGAGAUCAUACUGUCAAGUCUCUGAUGUUGAGGUCCAUGAGUGAUUGAAGUUGAGGCUCCCCAGGAAGCACUUUACCAGAUGCGGUGCUGUGUCUUUAAUAUCUGUUUCCCCCCCCAAUCCCUAUCUCCUCAUCUCCAAGUUGUCAA